rnacentral:tRNA from 1 species
GGUCUCAUAGCUCAGCUGGUUAGAGCAUCUGACUCAUAAUCAGAGGGUCACAGGUUCGAGCCCUGUUGGGACCA